GCAGUGGAGGUGGUGGGAAGUGAUUCCAGGGAGAGUAUUUUUGGAUAUAGAAUAAACAGGACCUGCUGAAACAUGUGGAUGUGAAGGAAGGAGAGGAAUCCAGAAUGACUCUGAGCACAACCUGAUAGAAGGAUGAACCAUUUCUAGAUGAAGGAGCCCUCCAACUGUAUAAUAUUCAAGAUCCAUGAAACUAGGAUCUGCCCUUUAACCUUGGGCAAUGCAGCAGAGGCGACAGGAGCGGAGCAGGUGACUGCCUUCUGCCCACGUUCCGUAGUGGGAGCACUGGUUGAAUGGGUCCACACCCAAGGCCGUCCCAGGCCCUCCACGGCCAGCCCUCUGCUCUUUUAAAGGGACUGCAGAGACUGUUUUCCAAGGAAAGGACCCUCUGGACGGAGCAAAGCGGCACUCUAUUAAUAACAAUAAUAGCACUGAUAACGCGCCAGACACAACCUUUAAGGUAGGUUCUGUUGGCAGCCCCAUUUUACAGAUGAAGAAACUGAGGCCAUCGGGCUGAAGUGUAGGCAUCGAGAAUCACAUGUUCUUCCAGAUUGGCCUUGCGUGCCCGAUGACCUUCCUUCACCUGUAGACUGGAUUCGUUAAUAGUGACUACCCUGUCCGGGAGAUUAAUGCUCGCAAACCAUUUAGUAGCGUGUACAGCGCACAGUUAGCGCUUAGCAAAUAUUAAUUAUCGAUUUUC